rnacentral:lncRNA from 1 species
AAAGAGUUAAAAAUUUGAGACAUACAUUAAUUAGUGAUUAAUUUUUAAAUACUUUCGAUCAAAGAAUCAUCAUGGAGGACAGUGAUCAAUCCAUUUGAGAUCGGUGCAUGGUUCACCUCCCUUAUGGAUAGAUAAAUCUCAGAUCUGUGGUGCAGAGAUACUGGGAUGAAGGUGUGGAUGGUUAUUAGAGAAUAACUUACAAUGAGCGUAACCAACAUGAGAACCACAUAGAUGUCUACCAGUCAUCAGUAGUUUUCUCGAUGCUGCAGUGGUGUGAGUGGUCCUUUGACUUACGAUGCCAUUAGCUAUUCAUAGUGAGGCUACUGGGUUUGACUGCAUGUUCUCUUAGUCCCUAACCAUUCAGAUUCUUGUUGUGUAUGCUGGCUUUAGUAGGUUCAGGUUCACUAUUUGGAGUAGGAUGCACCUAGAUGGAAUCUAUCGACCUUGAUAGAAAAAGAGAAGUCCUAUACGAUUUGUGAGACUA